rnacentral:rRNA from 1 species
AGCGAACGCUGGCGGCAGGCCUAACACAUACAAGUCGAACGGAUCCUUCGGGAUUAGUGGCGGACGGGUGAGUAACACGUGGGAACGUGCCCUUUGGUUCGGAACAACUCAGGGAAACUUGAGCUAAUACCGGAUGUGCCCUUCGGGGGAAAGAUUUAUCGCCAUUGGAGCGGCCCGCGUCUGAUUAGCUAGUUGGUGAGGUAACGGCCCACCAAGGCGACGAUCAGUAGCUGGUCUGAGAGGAUGAUCAGCCACACUGGGACUGAGACACGGCCCAGACUCCUACGGGAGGCAGCAGUGGGGAAUCUUGCGCAAUGGGCGAAAGCCUGACGCAGCCAUGCCGCGUGAAUGAUGAAGGUCUUAGGAUUGUAAAAUUCUUUCAGCGGGGACGAUAAUGACGGUACCCGCAGAAGAAGCUCCGGCUAACUUCGUG